rnacentral:rRNA from 1 species
UACGAAGGGGGGCUAGCGUUGCUCGGAAUUACUGGGCGUAAAAGGGCGCGUAGGCGGGUCGUUAAGUUGGGGGGUGAAAGCCCAGGGCUCAACCCUGGAAUUGCCUUCAAUACUGGCGACCUUGAGUAUGGCAGAGGUGUGUGGAACUCCGAGUGUAGAGGUGAAAUUCGUAGAUAUUCGGAAGAACACCAGUGGCGAAGGCGACACACUGGGCCAUUACUGACGCUGAGGCGCGAAACGUAGGGAGCAAACAGG